AUUGAACGCUGGCGGCAUGCCUUACACAUGCAAGUCGAACGGUAACAGGUUAAGCUGACGAGUGGCGAACGGGUGAGUAAUGUAUCGGAACGUGCCCAGUCGUGGGGGAUAACUGCUCGAAAGAGCAGCUAAUACCGCAUACGACCUGAGGGUGAAAGCGGGGGAUCGCAAGACCUCGCGCGAUUGGAGCGGCCGGUAUCAGAUUAGGUAGUUGGUGAGGUAAAGGCUCACCAAGCCGACUAUCUGUAGCUGGUCUGAGAGGACGACCAGCCACACUGGGACUGAGACACGGCCCAGACUCCUACGGGAGGCAGCAGUGGGGAAUUUUGGACAAUGGGCGCAAGCCUGAUCCAGCCAUGCCGCGUGCGGGAAGAAGGCCUUCGGGUUGUAAACCGCUUUUGUCAGGGAAGAAAAGGUUCUGGCUAAUACCUGGGACUCAUGACGGUACCUGAAGAAUAAGCACCGGCUAACUACGUG
rnacentral:rRNA from 1 species